rnacentral:lncRNA from 1 species
GCAAACCCAUCAAGACACCCAUGGGAACAAAUGGGCAUCUCGACCUCAACACGGGAGGUAAAUCUGUAGUCAAAAGGUAUACCGGUCGAUGAUAGGAUCUUUACUCUAUUUAUAUGCAUCUCGACCGGAUAUUAUGCUUUCCAUAUGCAUGUGUGCAAGGAUCAAAGCCGAUCCUAAGGAAAUUCACCUUAGGGCCGUGAAGAGAAUCAUGAGAUAUUUAGUUUACACUCCUAAGUUUGGGCUUUGGUACCCCAAGGGAUCCACUUUUGAUUUAAUAGGUGUAACACCCCACUGAUCCCACACAAUGGAUGAUACCAAAAAAAACCUUUCUACAAAACUUAUGCAGCACCUAGAGAAAGAAAGUAUUGCAAAAUCCGGCAGCACCUCCCUUGAAAGUAGCAUAACAAGGGAAGCAUAUAGUUUAUACAGGAUAUAAAAGAAAGAUAAUUGCCAUAGUAUAAUCAAAAUGCAACGGUAGAAAAGAACAUUCAUGACCAGACAAAAGAUAGACAUCUCAGCCCACCAAACUAAACAGUUCAACUACCAUGAAGAUUAGAAUGUAAUAAUUCCCUAGACUUGACCCUUCCUGUUUAACAUCAUUAAUAAUCAGUUAUUCCUUUAUUUAAAAGUGUGGUGGCCGUGCUGCUACAUCCCUUCUUUCCCAAAGCAAAGAUCAGGUGCCUGCAUCAGACAAUGCAAGAGUGAGAUGACACAUCUCAGCAAGUAAAAAAACAAACAACAGUUGGACAAUGCAAGCCAACCGUGCAUAAGCAACCAGAUGGUUCCCAACUUCUUCCUUAAAUAUUAAUUUGCAGCAAGUAAGCAAGUAAUCAAUCACUCAAUGCCAAGAUGAACUACAAAGUAAAGAUCCACCUUAUCCACAUCACCAAAAUAGGUUCCACACUUCACCCAUGAAUGCACAUGGCUACAGAUGCAACAUGACUUCUGCCUUCAUACCUCUAAGGAUAUGAAGCUGCAUCAUACCCCUUCUCAGGACACAUAUGAUGCUCCUUGUACCGGUACGGUCGGACCAUAAGAUCGCGACGAAAACUUCAAUGCAAUGGAUGAUGAAUGCAUUAUGCAUGUCAACAACAUGAGUUCUUCCCAAAUAAAAUGUGCUAGACAUAUACUUCCACCCAUUUCACAUCAAUAACCACAUGGGUAACAUGAUCAAACCACACCCUCCACAUGUAUAAUCAAUAAAGCAUGAAUAAUUUCAAAUGAUGGUACCCAAUUAGGAAUAUGGAUACGACCACAAGUAGCACAAACAUAAUCAAGUAUGAGACUCUUCAAUCAAAAGACGAAAUAACCAUCACUGUUUUACUUGCCUUUACCGAAGUUCGGGCAAAAUCCCUAAGAACGAUCCGGAAGUCCACCACCUGUUUUUUGACACCCAACUUAGUGCACCAAAUUCUCAUGAAAAAAACUCAAAGACAACACCGCACCUACGCGCAAUCUCAAACCCCGCCGCGGUAACAAUUCUCCCCUCACUAACCAAACUGCAGCGGCACUGCUUAACAAUUCCAUAACUCAAAAUUUAGGACAGCAGUGAUGAUAAACAAAAACUUCAGAGACAACUACAUAAAAUUCCCCACAAGUUUUGUAUACAACUCAUGAUUGAAUUCUAACAUCUACUUACCUCUAAACGGUCCUCAAAAUAAACCCUGCAAUCUGUUUUUUUUUCUGAUUUGAGCAGCGACAUACGCGGAUUCAAACAGCGAUAACUUUUAAAAUAUAAUUCCGAUUUGAGUGCAUAAGUACUUGUUGGAAAGAUAAGAAAAAGCCCUACAUGAUUCUCAUACUGAUUAACACUAAUUACUCCCGAAACAUCCCCAGAAACUGCUAACACUGCUGCUGUUCAUCACUCUGAAAAAUCUGUUUUCUGGACAGCCACAUACCCGGAUUCAAACGAUGAUAACUUUUAAUUUAUAACUCCAAAUUGAGCGCAUAAAUACUCGUUGGAAAGAUAAAACAAAGUUCUACAAGAUUCUCAUACUGAUUAACACUAAUUACUCCCGAAACAUCCCCAGAAACUGCUAACACUGCCGCUGUUCAUCACUCUGAAAAAUCUGUUUUCUGGACAGCCACAUACCCGGAUUCAAACGAUGAUAACUUUUAAUUUAUAACUCCAAAUUGAGCGCAUAAAUACUCGUUGGAAAGAUAAAACAAAGUUCUACAAGAUUCCCAAAUUGAUCCCCAUUAAAUCUUCACGAAAAAAACUAAAAACUGCUGGAACUACCGCUGUUCAUCCACCACGCAAAAUUCUGGACAGCCCCCCUCUAUCUAAUCGCAAACGCAACAUCUAAUCAAUUGAAUCGCAGCGCAAAUGAACAUGGGAUGAACACAAAAGAAAAAUCACCUUGGGUUCUCCCCUUUUCCUUCCUCCCUUCUUCCUUCCACCAAAACGAUUGGAGAUUCACACCAAAAGACGAUGAUCCGAGCGGCACGGAGUAGCACCUAGGGAGGAGGGGAUUGGGGGGGGCUAGGGUUUUGGUGGCUGCAACAAUGGAGGGAGGAGGAGGUGGGCAGGGGGGGCGGCGGCCAAGGGGAAAGGAGGAGUGGGGGCGGCG